UACGAAGGGUGCAAGCGUUAAUCGGAAUUACUGGGCGUAAAGGGUGCGUAGGCGGUUGUUUAAGUCUGUCGUGAAAUCCCCGGGCUCAACCUGGGAAUGGCGAUGGAUACUGGGCAGCUAGAGUGUGUCAGAGGAUGGUGGAAUUCCCGGUGUAGCGGUGAAAUGCGUAGAGAUCGGGAGGAACAUCAGUGGCGAAGGCGGCCAUCUGGGACAACACUGACGCUGAAGCACGAAAGCGUGGGGAGCGAACAGG
rnacentral:rRNA from 1 species